rnacentral:rRNA from 1 species
UACGGGGGGGGGCAAGCGUUGUUCGGAAUUACUGGGCGUAAAGGGCUCGUAGGCGGCCAACUAAGUCAGACGUGAAAUCCCUCGGCUUAACCGGGGAACUGCGUCUGAUACUGGAUGGCUUGAGGUUGGGAGAGGGAUGCGGAAUUCCAGGUGUAGCGGUGAAAUGCGUAGAUAUCUGGAGGAACACCGGUGGCGAAGGCGGCAUCCUGGACCGACACUGACGCUGAGGAGCGAAAGCCAGGGGAGCAAACGGG